UUUUAUUUUUAUUUUUCACAAAGCAUGCAAGAGGUUUUUAAAAGUGGAACGUACGAGGUUUGAAGACGUUUCAUGCAGGCAUCUAAUCAAGCUUGUUAAAUUUCUAGAAAUCAUGUACCGUAUUUGUAGCCCACUUCUUCCAACUCUCAACCUCAAUCACAAUAGCUUUUCUCUCUGUAAUUUCUUCAGCCUCGAGUCUUUUCCUUAGGUUUUAGCCUAAACUUCUCUGCCGUCUCUUGCGAUUUUCCCUACCCUUACGGGCAGGGGAUCUCUUUCCUGUCUGGAUGUGGGUUUUGCUCUCCCCCAUUUGGGUGGUUUGUAGAUAAUUCUUGUGGUUGCUUUUCUACCCAGCAGAUCUAAGCAUAGAGAGAGAGAGAGCAUGUUAUUUUCAUCUGCAUGUUUGGGUUUUUAUUGAUUUUUUCCUCUGUUUGCGUAGUUCAUAAUUUCUAUUGGGAGAUUUGUAAAUCGCGCUCUAUUAGGUUGUGGCCCUUCCUCAUCACGAGUUCUAUUUCUGUGUUUGGUUGUUGUUCUUCUGUGCUUGCAGGUCUAGAGACUCCGAGAUCUACCGCCUGUGUAUGGUUAUCGUUUGACGAAGAGUGCAGAAAGUAAGAUGCUAAUGGUAUCUAGCAGGAACCCGUAACGGCCUGGAAGGUGCGAGUGAGACGCCGAAGAGCCCUACUACCACCACUUGUCGCCAUCUACCAUCAUCGACAUUUUCAGUAGACAACUUCAUCGGCGGCGUUCAUCUUUGCAGAGAGGCGGCGGCGGUUUAAGUUGGUUGUAGCUAGGGUUUCUACUCCUUUCAGCGGGCUGGGCUUGCUUAUAAUGGUGUUGGACUUUCUUGUUUUUAGAAUGGAUGUGAGUUAGGCAUUUCUGUUUUUAUUUGAAUCAUGGCCUGCAUACGAGAUGGAUCGUUUUCUAUAAUAGAUCUUGAGUCUUUUAUAAUGGAUUUCAUUUUCGAAAAAAAAAAAACUCAAUCACAAUUUAAUUUUUAA